GACAUGUUAUUGUUGCCAUCAUAGACCUUAUGAAAACUGUUAUUGCGAUUUUCUAUAUGGGAUUGACUCCCUCGAUGGUGGCGCCCCGACCUAACAGAUCUUCCUUGUCUUCAGUCUAGAGCUCGGUCGGAUGGAGCAGUUGGGGAGGAGUGGCGGAUGCGCGGGGCAUCGCCGGCCAGAGAGGACGGGAGGAGCAUAUGCCAGCGAGGGAGGCGGCUCGGCUUGGACCGGCCAUGGCGCCGGCGCUGCUAACUCCCACGGGCCUCUCAUUCCCCAUCUCUUCUGGUUGCACCUCCCCCCGUUCCUUCCUCUAAUCCCCUUCUUGUCUAAUUUAAUUAUCGUUUUUAGUUUCCUGCUGUCUAUGGCUGCCGUAGAUUUUGUUCCUCCCCACUUCUAUAUCUUCAUAUAAAAUCUUAUGAAACAAUGCUCUGUUUCUUUUUUGGAAUAGGAAGUGAUGAAUCAAGCAAGGAGGAAGGGCGUAGUGUUGGAUAUUUGACCAGGUUAGGAUUGUCUCCUGUUAAGUAUAUGGUCGCGUGAUUUUAUUUUUACCUCGCCGGCACUGAGUUUGAUUUAAUUUUCAUCUCCGACGAGUCUACCGGUUGCGUUCUUAUUUUGUUGCAGGCGACAUAUAUGGAUGCCUCUGUUCUGAAUAAACAAUAUUUACUUGAACCUAUAUGGUCUGAAUAAAGUUUACACUGCCAAUAUUUUGCCUUGACCUGCCAAGGUAUGAACUAAAACAUCAAUAUCACUCGAACCUAAUCAUGUCAGGGUCUAAAUUAUUGCCUAUCUGCCAAUAUAAUAGCAUGCUAGAUGUUCUUAGAUUCAAUCCAAAAAAGCUUUGUUUGUGUUCCUGUCAAUUUUAGACGUGCAGGUAGCUUGAUAACUUGCUUUUCUUUUUGUUCAGUACAUAUAUACAGUUACACCAUAACCUCACCAAUUUGCUCUGAUUAAAUUAGCAAACCUGAAGCAUGUAAGGAUUCAUGUGAGUGAAAGUUCACUUUCUUUCAGGAGAAAAGAACUUUUAGUUAAUACCAGUCGAAUUUGGUAAGGCCAAUAAUUAUAUCCUUUCAUAAUCAUCAGGUUUGCUACACUUAGUCAUAAUAAAGUAUUCUAUUUUUUCUUUUGCACAGUGGCAUUGCAAUGGAUAUUGUUCUUUUACUAGCAGUGUGCUGAGUGUGCAUGCAAAGUACAGGUCAUUUUGAGUGGCAAGGGUUGAGAAUUACCAUAAUGUUAAUAUGUUGAAGAACCUUAUAAAAUAUAUAAUUAUAUAUUUGACACUUUUUAUACUGAUUCAAGUGAAAAAUGUCAUAAUUCUAACAGAUAUUUGCAUCUGCGCCAAGUGCGGCAUGCAGUCAUCCUCAUCCUGUCCUGAACGUACCAUGUACUCUGUAUUGAGAAAAGACUAGGGAGUUAAGAAUACCAUGUGGCACCGGAGCAGCCUAAGGGCCAUUAGUUGGGAAUAAGAUGCACUGGAUAUCUGAGUUUAAGUGGUAGCUUUGCACUUUGCAGUAUGGUGAUGUCACUCUUGGUGUGAUGGUCACUCAUCGAGCGUGUCAACUACUCAUAAAUAGCUCUAUCCAGCAAAUUUUCUUUAGAUUUUGCUCUAUUCUAUUGAUCAGAUUUGCCAAGUCAUUUUUCCUUCGAGGUAUUUAGCAUUGCCAAAUUUAUAUAUUUACCUAAAUUUAAUCGUGACCCGAUUUGCUCUGGUCAAUACAUGCAUGAUGCCUUUUCUUUUCUAUAAAGUAGAUGCAGGGUUAUUUUACCUUUUAGACUCUGAGUUAGAUUAGCCGCACCUGUGUAUAUGUUUGAUAGAUGAGCUGUGUCAGGUUGUAGGUACUGCUAAGCACAAAGCUAUAGUUGGAUAUAAUAUUGGAUUUACAAUUAUUUUAUGCAAAAGAUUUCUGGUUAGUUGUAAAAUUCAUAAUAUUCCAGUAUAUUUCAAAUUUUGUUUCAUAGAGAAGCUCCAUCAUUGGAACCAGUAUAUGUCUGCUGAUAAAACCCUUUUGUAUGAUCAUGGUUUUUAGGAAUUGAUAUUCCAAUCAAUCUGCUGAUGCGGUAUUUGUGGGAGAUGAAGAGCAGCGACGGGUUUAAUCUAGGGGCCGUCUUUCUCGAGCUACAUUCAUGCUUCACAGCAGUUCACCUUCCCACAAUUUCUCAGGUUGCACAUCUGCUGGCCGAUGUGAUUAUGGAUGCCUUGUAUCUUGCAGUUCUUUCUAACCGAGUAUUAUUGCAGAUUCCAAAAUAGGACUAACUUCUGCUUAUUUUCUAAUCUAUUCAUUGUACCUCAAGGUGAACCAAUCUAUCCCACGAGAGCAUAUUUUUCUUAAUUCUACAAUAGAGGAUGUCGUGGUUUUCGAUUUUUGCUUUAAUGUGGGCUGGUUAGGAACUACAGUAAAUGUUUUUCCUGAAAGCUAAUGUUGUUGCACAAUUUCCUUUUUACCGUUUCAUUUUUAUUGUGAGAAAAAUGAUGCUUUUCAUAAAUUGUGCUAAUGUGAACAUGAGUUGUGUGUGUUGAUCUAAAUGAAUUGGAAAAAUGGUCUGGUUGCGGAACAUUUGGUACACAAUUUUUUUAUUCAAGAUGGAACAAGUUUGUUAUAGAUAUUCCUGUAAAUGGUUUGUAUAGUUUGUUUUGUUAUUAAGCAAACAUAUGGUUCCAACACGCCUGAAAAUCAUGAAACUUGGCAUGGUAUCAUGACAUGGCUCCAACAUGUUGUGGUAAAUUUUCUGGCCGAAUUGGGACAAGCUUUGGUGUAAGCUUCUUUCAAACCGGAGCUUCCCUCAAGAAGGCUCGUGGUUCCGAGAGGGAAUGUG
rnacentral:lncRNA from 1 species